CGAACGAACCCUUCGGGGUUAGUGGCGCACGGGUGCGUAACGCGUGGGAACCUGCCUUUAGGUUCGGAAUAACUCAGGGAAAUUUGAGCUAAUACCGAAUAAUGUCUUCGGACCAAAGAUUUAUCGCCUUUAGAUGGGCCCGCGUUAGAUUAGAUAGUUGGUGGGGUAAUGGCCUACCAAGUCGACGAUCUAUAGCUGGUCUGAGAGGAUGAUCAGCCACACUGGGACUGAGACACGGCCCAG
rnacentral:rRNA from 1 species